GAUGAACGCUAGCUACAGGCUUAACACAUGCAAGUCGCAGGACUGGCGCACGGGUGAGUAACGCGUAUCCAAUCUUUCCAUAACUACGUGAUAACCCGUUGUAAGACGGCCUAAUACCGUAUGGUUACGGAUGGGGAUGCGUCUGAUUAGCUUGGUGGGGGGGUGACGGCGCACCAAGGCGACGAUCAGUAGGGGUUCUGAGAGGGAGGGCCCCGACACAGUAACUGUGACAAGGUCCCAAAUCGUACGGGAGGGAGAGGUGAGGGGUAUUGGGCACUGGGGGAGAGCCUGAGCCAGACAAGUGGCGUGCAGGAUGUCGGGCUAUGGGGUGUAAACUGCUUUUAUGUGGGGAUAGGUACCACAUGAAUAAGGGCCGGCUAAUUCCGUGCCAGCAGCCGCGGUAAUUC
rnacentral:rRNA from 1 species